rnacentral:tRNA from 1 species
GCCUGGGUGGCUCAGUCAGUUGAGCUUCUGACUUCAGCUCACAUCAUGAACUCACGGUUUGUGAGUUCGAGUCCCACAUGAGGCU